UACGUAGGCAGCGAGCGUUGUUCGGAAUUACUGGGCGUAAAGAGUGUGUAGGCGGUGCUCUAAGUUCGGUGUGAAAUCUCCUGGCUCAACUGGGAGGGUGCGCCGGAAACUGGAGUGCUUGAGCGUGGGAGAGGAAAGCGGAAUUCCUGGUGUAGCGGUGGAAUGCGUAGAGAUCCGGAAGAACACCGGUGGCGAAGGCGGUUAGCUGGGCAGUUGCUGACACUGAGGCGCGACAGCGUGGGGAGCAAACAGG
rnacentral:rRNA from 1 species